rnacentral:lncRNA from 1 species
UUUUUUAUAUUUUUAGUAAAGACGGGGUUUCACCGUGUUAGCCGUGAUGGUCUCGAUCUCCUGACCUUGUGAUCCGCCCACCUCUGCCUCCCAAAGUUCUGGGAUUACAGGCAUGAGCCACCGCGCCGUCCCCAAACUCCCUUUCAACAUGAUCUGAACCAAUAACAAUUUCUCACUGAAUUGCAUGCUACCUUACCCACAGCCUGUAACCUCCUUGAGGCUAAGAUCUCUGUUUUUUUUUUUUUUUUUUUUGCACCAGGGAUACAGCAAUUACCUCUGUCUUCUACUAAGCUUAGCACACAAAAGGGCUUGAUUCAUGAGAGGAAUGAAUAAAGGAGCACUGCUACCCCCACAGCUGAACUCUAAGCUUCUGGAGAUAAACCCACCCCCUGGAUUUUUUCCAUGUUUACCCAGAGUCUAGCCCAGAGUUCCAGCACUGAGUAGGACCUCAGAGACUUAAGACCUAAGUACUCCAGUGUCGCCUAAGCAAUGUCUUGUUUGCUCUCCCAUCUUGACCUCAUAGUUGCCUUGCCCUCCCCAUCUCCUUUGCAGACUAGUGACUUUGCCAGCUCAGCUCUCCAGGUGUGGGAGGGGAGGUCCAACGCGCUCCACUGGGCAGGCACCGACAGCCGGCAGGACAGGUAUCCCCAACACCCAGUGUGCUGCGAGGCACCUAAAAGUCGCUCCAUAGAUGCUUAUGAACUGAAGGAAUGGAUGUGCGAUGGAAUCCAAAGAUGAAACUAAAAGCACCUACAUGUGAUUGGGCCCACUCCAUUACCAGCUAUCUGGCCAUGGUCGGGAGGGAAUCAUCUGCAACUUCUUGGACCUUCUCACCCCUGCUCCAGCUUCCUUUGACUACAAUCUGAAUUCCCAUCUAGGUGAGGAGCCAUGGGUGACCAAAGAUCACAGCAGGUAGGCAAGGAAGACACAGAGCCAGAACAGCAUGUGACUCGGAAAUGAUCUAAGCUGCUGAAACUCAUAUCUCAAAUUCCUUAAAGGAGGUCUAGUUGGUGGGAAAGCGAGAGUGCCUGACAGGGAAUCCGUGUUGGUCGGGGACUCUGCCACCAGCAGUCUUGGGGAAUUCCUGGGUCAUGUGGUCGGAUGUGUGGAUGUGCUGAGAUAUCUGGGCUGAGCUAAGCUACUCUCAAUCCUGCCUGCCCCACUAUUGACUCCUGGAAGGGAGACGCCUACCCCCCAGCCCCAAGUCCCAUGGCUGAUCCAUGUCUGAGGGGGUCAUGGGGGAAAGCUGUUUAUUGGAUCUACUAUGUGCUGUGCUGGGAAAACAAGUGGGAACAAAUGUCUGUCCUUGUCCUUACACACUUCACAAUUUGUGUGUGUGUCUGUAGGGGAGUGGAGGUGGGUCCAGACUGGUAAAAGGGGAUUUGAAAGCAGCUCAGUGUGUGGACUGCUGUGAUGUGUCCUGGUGGGAGCAGGGUGCAGGUAGGAGCAGAGGUGAGAGGCACCAAGGCCAUGCCAUGGGGGUCACGUGAGGGUUGGGAGCAGGUAAGGCAGAUCUCAGAUACCUCUAAGAUGAGUCUUGAGCCCUGAGGAUGAAUUACAGCCUGUAGUAUUCCCUACCUCCCCUCCAAGAAAGGGAUGCAAAUCCUGUUAGUCGCUGGCAAAUUGGGAAGCCUAGCUCAAAGCUGCCCUCUUCUGACCAAACUAAGCCUAGCAUGUUUUAUGGGAUGCCCAAAGCUGUGACCACAAGCAGAAGUCGGCUUAGGCAAUUUGUUCCUCCAGUAAACCGUUCAUUUGUUCAUUCAUUCAUUCAUUCAACAAAUAUGGACUGAGUAAUUGCAAUAACAGCUAUAAUGAUAUCUAACAUUUAUUAAGCCAGCCCUGGUUCUAAAUUCUAAAUUCUAGUAUGUCUUGCCGGAAGUUUGGAGAAUUUGUGCCGCAAACACUGAAAACAGCCCUCAAACUCUCAAUUACCCUGAGAAACCGAAUGUUAUUCACAGACCAGGCCUGGGAGGGGAUGUGACUGAAGGAGAAGCUAGCUCUUCUCCCCAAGCCAAAGAGCUUGCCCUGUCUCCAUCCUGGAAUGGGAGGGAGAGCACACGCAGAGAGACAGGACGCAGGCGUGCCGGGGUCCAGCUCCACUUCCACCACCAACCCACACCAUGCCAUGGCCAAGGACUUUCUCUUUUAGGGGUGGUUCCUUAUCUGUAAAAGGAGAUUUGGAUAAACCAACUCUCAGUUUUGUUUCAAAUCUGCUUUAACUUCUCUGCAAUAUCUAAGCAGGGACAAAUUAGAAACCUCAAGGGCUGGGCGCGAUGGCUCACGCCUGUAAUCUCAGCACUUUGGGAGGCCGAGGCAGGCGGAUCAUGAGGUCAGGAGAUCGAGACCAUCCUGGCUAACAUGGUGAAACUCCGUCUCUACUAAAAAUACAAAAAAUUAGCCGGGCGUGGUGGUGGGCACCUGUAGUCCCAGUUAGUCAGGAGGCUGAGGCAGGAGAAUGGCGUGAACCCGGGAGGCGGAGCUUGCAGUGAGCAGAGAUCGCACCACUGCACUCCAGCCUGGGCAACAGAGCAAGACUCCGUCCCCCCCACCCAAAAAAAUUAGAAAUCUCAGCCACUCGCUUUCUUUUGCCACCUGGUAACUGAUUCCUUCAGUACUGGACAUUCAGGAGCCCCAUUCCGUCUCGCAUCCCCAGGCUGGCAUAAUGUUUUUGGCUCAAGAGUCUGGCAACCUGGGCUUCAGGCUCUGCUCUGUCACUAACUGACUGUGACUAUAACUCAUGUCUCCACCACUUCAUGUAUAAAUAAGAAUUAUUCUUUUAUGCAGCUAACAUACUGUGUGUCAGCCACUGUUCCUUAGAUUUCCUGUAUUCAUGAAUUCAAUCCUUUCUACAACUCUAUGAAGUACAUACUAGCCUAUGAUAUCCCCAUUGCGUGUGAGAAAAGUGACACAGAGCAAUUAAGGGCCUAUGCAGGGUCACAGAGUUGUCAAGUGGUGAAGCCAGAUUGCCUGGGGUCCAAUCUGGCUCCAGAAACAGCACUCUUAGCCCUCAUACUUUGGCUUAGAGAGGAUUCCUGACUUGCCUAGAGUGUCAAGUAGACUAAGCUGCUCUGCGUCAUACUUUCCUCAUCUGAAAUGACUACCUCCUGGGCUUGCUGUGGGAUGAAAUUAGAAGUGAGGUCGUCAGACUGAUGGUUUCCUAUCCGUCUGCCUGGCGCUUUGCUGGGCUCUGGUCCUCCCAAGUCCCCUCCCUCAAUUUCGG